rnacentral:ncRNA from 2 species
GGACAAACGCAGGGGAGCACGCCUCAACAACGUGCUGAGAGUGCGGAUCCGCCGCAGACCCUAUGAACCUGAUCCGGUUAGCACCGGCGAAGGGAGUCGGAAGAUGAGACCCA